UUCAAGUUUUUAAGAGCAAACGGUGAAUGCCUUGGCAUCUGGAGCCGAAGAAGGACGUCGUAAUCUGCGAUAAGCCUCGGGGAGCUGAUAAACGAGCUGUGAUCCGAGGAUUUCCGAAUGGGGAAACCCCGUCAGGCCCUUUGUGGUGACCUGGUGACUCCCGCCUGAAUAUAUAGGGCGGGUAGAGGGAACGUGGGGAAGUGAAACAUCUCAGUACCCACAGGAAGAGAAAACAACAGUGAUUCCGUUAGUAGUGGCGAGCGAACGCGGAAGAGGCUAAACCGAGUCAUGUGUGAUACCCGGCAGGGGUUGCAUGGUCGGGGUUGUGGGACUUUUCGUCGUGUUCUGCCGAGCACGGAACGUUACAGCGCAUCAUAGACGAACAGGUUUGAAUGCCUGGCCAGAGCGGGUGCGAGCCCCGUAGUCGAAAUGGUGUUAUGGCGUGGAGAGUAUCCCAAGUAGCACGGGGCCCGAGAAAUCCCGUGUGAAUCUGUCAGGACCACCUGAUAAGCCUAAAUACUCCCAGAUGACCGAUAGCGGACAAGUACCGUGAGGGAAAGGUGAAAAGUACCCCGGGAGGGGAGUGAAAUAGUACCUGAAACCGUUUGCUUACAAACCGUCGGAGCCUCCUUGUUGGGGUGACGGCGUGCCUUUUGAAGAAUGAGCCUGCGAGUUAGUGCUCUGUGGCGAGGUUAACCCGUGUGGGGCAGCCGUAGCGAAAGCGAGUCCGAAUAGGGCGUUGUGAGUCGCAGGGUCUAGACCCGAAGCGAAGUGAUCUAUCCAUGGCCAGGUUGAAGCGACGGUAAGACGUCGUGGAGGACCGAACCCACUUCAGUUGAAAAUGGAGGGGAUGAGCUGUGGAUAGGGGUGAAAGGCCAAUCAAACUUCGUGAUAGCUGGUUCUCUCCGAAAUGCAUUUAGGUGCAGCGUUGCGUGUUUCUUGCCGGAGGUAGAGCUACUGGAUGGCCGAUGGGGCCCAAAAGCUUACUGACGUCAGCCAAACUCCGAAUGCCGGUAAGUGAGAGCNNNNNNNNNNNNNNNNNNNNNNNNNNNNNNNNNNNNNNNNNNNNNNNNNNNNNNNNNNNNNNNNNNNNNNNNNNNNNNNNNNNNNNNNNNNNNNNNNNCGCAGCAGUGAGACUGUGGGGGAUAAGCUUCAUAGUCGAGAGGGAAACAACCCAGACCACCAACUAAGGUCCCUGAGCGCGUGCUAAGUGGGAAAGGAUGUGGAGUUGCACAGACAACCAGGAGGUUGGCUUAGAAGCAGCCACCCUUGAAAGAGUGCGUAAUAGCUCACUGGUCAAGUGAUUCCGCGCCGACAAUGUAACGGGGCUCAAGCACGCCACCGAAGUUGUGGCAUUGACAUUAGUGGUAGGCCUUCGUGGUCCAGCCGUGUUGAUGGGUAGGAGAGCGUCGUGUGGCGAGUGAAGCGGCGGUGUGAACCAGCCGUGGACGCCACACGAGUGAGAAUGCAGGCAUGAGUAGCGAAAGACGGGUGAGAAACCCGUCCUCCGGAAGACCAAGGGUUCCAGGGUCAAGCUAAUCUUCCCUGGGUAAGUCGGGACCUAAGGCGAGGCCGACAGGCGUAGUCGAUGGACAACGGGUUGAUAUUCCCGUACCGGCGAAGAACCGCCCACGACAAUCUAGUAGUGCUAAGUAUCUGAAUCCCUGUGAUGGAUCCCUUCGGGGUGAAGCGUUGGGCCUAGCGUACGACCCCGUGCUGGUGCGUUUAGCGUAUUAACAGGUGUGACGCAGGAAGGUAGCCGAGCCGGGCGAUGGUUGUCCCGGUCUAAGGAUGUAGGGCGAACGAUAGGUAAAUCCGUCGUUCAUGUUGCCUGAGAUCUGAUGGGUAGACGCAAGUCGAAAUCGGUGAUCCUCUGCUGCCAAGAAAAGCAUCGACGCGAGGUUCUAGCUGCCCGUACCCCAAACCGACUCAGGUGGUCAGGUAGAGAAUACUAAGGAGAUCGAGAGAAUCGUGGUUAAGGAACUCGGCAAAAUGCCCCCGUAACUUCGGGAGAAGGGGGGCCUGAGGCGUGAACGGACUUGCUCCGGGAGCGUUCGAUGGCCGCAGAGACCAGUGGGAAGCGACUGUUUACUAAAAACACAGGUCCGUGCUAAGUCGCAAGACGAUGUAUACGGACUGACGCCUGCCCGGUGCUGGAAGGUUAAGAGGAACGGUUAGCCUUAUGGCGAAGCUGAGAAUUUAAGCCCCAGUAAACGGCGGUGGUAACUAUAACCAUCCUAAGGUAGCGAAAUUCCUUGUCGGGUAAGUUCCGACCUGCACGAAUGGCGUAACGACUUCCCAGCUGUCUCAACCGCGAACUCGGCGAAAUUGCAUUACGAGUAAAGAUGCUCGUUACGCGCAGCAGGACGGAAAGACCCCGUGACCUUUACUAUAGUUUGGUAUUGGUGUUCGGUGUGGCUUGUGUAGGAUAGGUGGGAGACUGUGAAGCGGGCACGCUAGUGUUCGUGGAGUCAUUGUUGAAAUACCACUCUGGUCACUCUGGAUAUCUAACUUCGGACCCUAAUCGGGUUCAGGGACAGUGCCUGAUGGGUAGUUUAACUGGGGCGGUUGCCUCCCAAAAAGUAACGGAGGCGCCCAAAGGUUCCCUCAACCUGGUUGGCAAUCAGGUGGCGAGUGUAAGUGCACAAGGGAGCUUGACUGUGAGACUGACAAGUCGAGCAGGGACGAAAGUCGGGACUAGUGAUCCGGCAGUGGCUUGUGGAAGCGCUGUCGCUCAACGGAUAAAAGGUACCUCGGGGAUAACAGGCUGAUCUUGCCCAAGAGUCCAUAUCGACGGCAUGGUUUGGCACCUCGAUGUCGGCUCGUCGCAUCCUGGGGCUGGAGUAGGUCCCAAGGGUUGGGCUGUUCGCCCAUUAAAGCGGUACGCGAGCUGGGUUUAGAACGUCGUGAGACAGUUCGGUCCCUAUCCGCUGCGCGCGCAGGAAAUUUGAGAAGAUCUAUCCCUAGUACGAGAGGACCGGGAUGGACGAACCUCUGGUGUGUCAGUUGUUCCGCCAGGAGCACCGCUGAUUAGCUACGUUCGGAACGGAUAACCGCUGAAAGCAUCUAAGCGGGAAGCCGGCUUCGAGAUGAGAUUUCCAUCCCUUCGGGGGAGAGGCUCCCAGCCAGACGACUGGGUUGAUAGGCCGGAUGUGGAAGACAGGACUAAAGACUGUCGGAGCUGACCGGUACUAAUAAGCCGAUAACUUGAUAA
rnacentral:rRNA from 1 species